GUUUCCGUAGUGUAGUGGUUAUCACGUGCGCUUUCACACGGCAAGGUCCCCGGUUCGAUCCCGGGCGAAAACA
rnacentral:tRNA from 1 species